rnacentral:rRNA from 1 species
UACGGAGGGUGCGAGCGUUGUCCGGAAUCACUGGGCGUAAAGGGCGCGUAGGCGGUGCGCUAAGUGGCUGGUGAAAUUCCGGGGCUCAACUCCGGGGCUGCCGGUCAGACUGGCGCGCUCGAGCACGGUAGAGGCAGAUGGAAUUCCCGGUGUAGCGGUGGAAUGCGUAGAUAUCGGGAAGAAUACCGGUGGCGAAGGCGUUCUGCUGGGCCGUUGCUGACGCUGAGGCGCGACAGCGUGGGGAGCAAACAGG